UAAACUUGCGAGAUUGAGAAGUUG
rnacentral:siRNA from 1 species